rnacentral:rRNA from 1 species
GAUCCAGCCAUGCCGCGUGAAGGAAUAAGGUCCUAUGGGUCGUAAACUUCUUUUGACGCAGAGCAAUAAGGAACACGUGUGUUCCGAUGAGAGUAUGCGUCGAAUAAGCAUCGGCUAACUCCGUGCCAGCAGCCGCGGUAAUACGGAGGAUGCGAGCGUUAUCCGGAUUUAUUGGGUUUAAAGGGUGCGUAGGCUGUUGGAUAAGUCAGCGGUGAAAUCACCACGCUUAACGUGUUGUGUGCCGUUGAAACUGUCCAGCUUGAAUGCGCUCGUCGUGAGAGGAAUGUGUGGUGUAGCGGUGAAAUGCAUAGAUAUCACACAGAACACCGAUUGCGAAGGCAUCUCACGAGAGCGUUAUUGACGCUGAUGCACGAAAAGCGCGGGUAUCGAACAGGAUUUAGAUACCCUGGGUAGUCCGCGCUGUAAACGAUGAUGACUAACCGUUGGUCUGGUAUGGAUCAGUGGUCAAGCGAAAGCGUUAAGUCAUCCACCUGGGGGAGUACGGCCGCCAAGGCUGAAACUCAAAGGAAUUGACGGGGGCCCCGCACAAGCGGAGGAACAUGUGGUUUAAUUCGAUGAUACGC